rnacentral:rRNA from 1 species
AGCAGCCGCGGUAAUUCCAGCUCCAAUAGCGUAUAUUAAAGUUGUUGCAGUUGAAAGCUCGUAGUUGAAUUUCGGGAUCAAUAUGUCGGUCGUGCCUUCGGUACGUACUGGUAUCAUUGGUCCUCUCCUUUCUGACGAACCAUGAUGUCAUUAAUUUGGUGUUAUGGGGAGUUUGGACUGUUACUUUGAAAAAAUUGAAUGUUUAAAGCAAGCUAACGCUUGAAUACAUUAGCAUGGAAUAAUGAAAUAGGACGUUCGAUCCUAUUUUGUUGGUUUCUAGGAUUGACGUAAUGAUUAAUAGGGAUAGUUGGGGGCAUUAGUAUUCAAUUGUCAGAGGUGAAAUUCUUGGAUUUAUUGAAGACUAACUACUGCGAAAGCAUUUGCCAAGGAUGUUUUCAUUAAUCAAGAACGAAAGUUAGGGGAUCGAAGACGAUCAGAUACCGUCGUAGUCUUAACCAUAAACUAUGCCGACUAGGGAUCGGAUGAUGUUAAUUUUUUAAUGUA